UGGGCAGCUCGCCUUCUCUUUCUUUCCUGC
rnacentral:piRNA from 1 species